rnacentral:rRNA from 1 species
GGGGAAUAUUGCGCAAUGGGGGAAACCCUGACGCAGCAAUACCGCGUGAGUGAAGAAGGUUUUCGGAUCGUAAAGCUCUGUUAUAAGGGAAUAAAGUGAGGCACGUGUGCCUUAUUGUAUGUACCUUAGGAAAUAGCAUCGGCUAACUACGUGCCAGCAGCCGCGGUAAUACGUAGGGGACAAGCGUUGUCCGGAUUUACUGGGCGUAAAGGGCACGCAGGCGGUUUUUUAAGUCAGAUGUGAAAGGUACCGGCUCAACCGGUAACAUGCAUUUGAAACUGAAAGACUUGAGUAUUGGAGAGGCAAGUGGAAUUCCUAGUGUAGCGGUGAAAUGCGUAGAUAUUAGGAGGAACACCGGUGGCGAAGGCGGCUUGCUGGACAAAUACUGACGCUGAGGUGCGAAAGUGUGGGUAUCAAACA